rnacentral:lncRNA from 1 species
CAUGGAAUGCAUUUGUGUAAUUGCGUCUCUGUGCUAAAGGCAAGGUAGCAUCAGCUUGCAUACGAAUGAGGGCCAAAUCUGCUGGACUACCAACAGUUGCACCUAUUGCUCCAGCAGUCAGACCACACAAAGCCUUUUGGUAUAGAGGUAAGGGCUUCCCUUCAUUAGCCUCAAUGGCCUUGUUCGUCAAAAUUCUGUUUUAAGAAAACAAGAAGAAAGGUAAAAGAGUUAGUUCUACUUCUUUUUUCUUUUCAUGGAUAAAUAUAGAAAGAACGUUGCCAAGUAAAAUGCAUAACAACACUAAGUUGUACUAUUAUAAAAACCCAUCCAAAAUCACCGACAAUAUAGUGUUUAUAGCUGGGUUUUAAAUCACAAAAAAGUUUCAAUAUCUUCACACUGAUUGCUGAAGGGUACAGACAAUAGACAAAAACAGGCCUUCAUUUAAUGAUAGUCUAAUUACAUGUGAAAUGUAGCUUCCUGUCGCACGUAAAUCGAUUUCCUGAAACCAUCUCAUCAUCAUCCAAAGGAAGAAGACCGUGGAUUCUCAUUGAUUUGUCUUUAUCCACAUGGAAAAUGGAAACCCAAACUGGUUCUCAACAUCUCAUGAUUAAUGAGCCAAAGGAUUUGAAGUGGUUUUAGAGGAUUCAAGACUUCAAGUGGUUUGCAAAUACACUUGACACUACAAUCAAGCAUGGAAUAAGUUUUGUCGGUUAUUAAACCUUUAUAUUUUAUCUAAGAAUUCAUUUUAUUUUCUUGAACCUACAGAUUUUUGUUCCAGGCUAAUUCUUUUCAAAAGGCAUGUUAGCUCAAUAUUUCCAUAAACACUUAAAAUAUUAGCAAAACCCUGAAUCCCAAUGGAGGUCCAACAAUGAUAUCACACCCCUUAUAAAUAGAAAAGCAGAAAAGAACACAGUAAACCCAAUAACUACAACAACCUCAUAAAAUUAUAAAAUAACACCAAGCUGCAAAGACUAUAAGAAGUAAACAGCCAAGUGGAGGGGAGAAGAAGUUAACAGCCAAGUGGAGGGGAGAGGGAGAGGAAGAGGGAGAGGGUGACAUGGGCUGUCUUAAUAUUCAAAAAAUCAGAAAAGCAAGACUUGCAGAAAAUCAAACCACUGUUCACAAAUUUAUUCCAUGUCGACACUUGACAUAACCAAAGAGUAACUUCACUAGAAGACAUCUCCAAUAAGAUGUGCCGAGUACCUCAAUUUGAGUAGUUCAAACUGUAUCUUGAUUCAAAUAAGACCAAGUGAAAAAUUAGGCAUGACAAGGAGGGUGUGACUAUGCAUAAUAACAGUGGUAUCAAGAUACCAGAGUAAAUCCUUGGGUAACCACCGAUCACAACUAUGAACCUUGACACAUCAUCAAUAGUAUUUGAAAUUUUAAAUAAGCUUGGCUCAUUCUAAUCGGAGAAAAGAUAAAUACAGGACAAACAGUCACCUGAAUGACCCAAGUCGGGCAGUUGUGUAGGUUGCCUGCCUAAGAAGCCCAGCUGACAGACCCUGCAUAAGAUGAUAAAUAAUUGAUGGCAUGGAAUAACCAAAAAACCAUAUAACACAAAAAUAUGAGAGGAAGUGCAUCAAAUUCAGGCAGCUUUCACCAGCUUAUUUCUAGUGGAAAAAGCAUCACCUAGUUUUCUUGCUGAUUUUUUUCCAAGAAGAUAGGUAAUCCAGUACGGGAGCCACUUGCAUCAAAUUCAGGCAGCUUUCACCAGCUUAUUUCUAGUGGAAAAAGCAUCACCUAGUUUUCUUGCUGAUUUUUUUCCAAGAAGAUAGGUAAUCCAGUAUGGCAUAACCAAUGUAUUGGAGAGAUUUAUCGUUCCUACUCCAUUGAGGAUACUAUAAUAUAUGAACUACAAAUGCAUCCUCGCCGAGUUUAAAAGAACAAGCUAUACUCAUUACUUGGUGGGAAACUAAAAUACCUAUCUGUUUCUUGUGGACAUAAAAUAAAGAUCCAUUCAACCAGAGAUCAACAAGUAAAUGCCAAUACAUUAUCAAUCAUCAACCAAAGCUACAUAGAGAUAAAUCUCACAAGAACAAACCUUGUAAAAGGCACCAAAACCUUCAUUUUUAAGCAUGGUCUUGGUAACCUCAGCUGCUGAUCCCUGUCCCAAUUGUAUCCUCACCUGCUCUCCAUCAUAAGAAAGACGUAACAUAAAUCAGAAUAGAUCCCAUCAAAACUUUAGCACACCACAAACUGAAAGACUCAGACUUUUACAUCAUACUGCAUAACAAACUGCCCCCAAAGAUUCAAUCUUUUCAAGACUAAAUCUUUUCCACUCACUACAAAACAACUCUAUAUAAGAAAAGUAAACUGACACAUUUCAACCAAAUCCAUUUGAUCUAACAUCUGAAAUCCAACCAAAUCCACCAAAACAUCAGUACCAAACAUCCCAUAUAAAACAAAACAUUCAUUUGAUUCAAGAUCUGAACACGACCCACUGAACAAACACAUCUCAAAACCCCAAAAACACAUCAAAGCAUCAAAAAAAACAGGAUCUUUACAAUCAAGAACACACUAACAAUCAUGAAAAGCAAUACCCAUAAAACAUAAAAUCAAGAUUGUGGUAAAGAUGUUACCUUUAUCAUAUCAAUAGGCUGAAUAACACAGGUAGCAAGCAUACCAGAGACACCUCCAUUAACAAAUGGCUUAACAGUAGGCCAAACACCUCCAGAUUUUGGCUUCUCACCCAUUCUUUCUCAGCUCUCUUUCUCUUCAGAUUUCAAAAAGAGAAUAAGGGCCUUUGGGGACUGAAGCUCUAGGGGGUUUUCACAAGAGUAAAAAAGAGUUUUAAGGCAAAGGGGAGAGAGGUAUUUAUACACUAACAACAAAUAAUACCACUCUUGUUGAGCCAAUUAAAAAGGGAAAAACCCUUUUGUGUGGUGGUUGAAUCAAUUUUUGUGUGACUAGGACUGCAUUAACUUAUUAUCUCUUAACAUUAGCCCUUCAUUUUCACAAAAUUACACUUUUUAGAAAUUAUAAAUAUGUUACUUUUAAAAUUAUACUCGUCUCUGUUUCAAUUUAGGUAACGUAGUUUAGCUUGAGACACCAUCGUGCGAAAUAAUGGUUGAGAAAGAUAGAAAGAUUAUUCUUUAAUUGAUGGUAACAUGUCAUGGUAUAUAUACUCUUGCUUCUUUAUUAGAAAACUCGUGAUUUCGUUUUUGCUUCUUUUGAUCGUCGAGCUUGAUCGACUCUACUCUUUUUCCUUGUCCCUGCAUAUUAUUUCAUUUCGUUCUUUAUACGUAUCGUCGCUUGAAGGAACGACACCGAUCGGCCCAUCCUAAAUGCCCCCGAAGUUUGCUCAAAUUUCAAUGAAGACGGAAAAAAUUACUAGAUGAUUAUUCGUAUAUGUCCUAACCUUGGUGGAUAAAGUUAUAACUUUGUAUCUAUUGGGGGUGGCAGGUAGCAGGUAUCUUAUGAGAUCUGACGAGACAUGUUGCAGGUGAAAGAUGACAAGUAUCUUCUGGAAGGCAUGUUACUGAUGAAAAAUGUCAAGUAUCUAGUAGAAUUAAUCGAGACAUGUUAUUGGCGGGAGAUGACAAGUACCUUGUGAAAUCAGCCGAGAUAUGUUGCUGGUAAGAGGUGUUACAUAUUCCAUAAAAUUAAUUGAAAUGUACAAAAACUAAUCCAAACACCACUCGAUUAUUUUUAAAAAUGACAUUUUUCUUUUUAACACUCAUUUAGUAAAACCUUAUCUCAUCCUUAACUCCAAUGGUCUUGAACAAAGAUUCCAUUAAAGUAGACAUAUUUUUAAUUUUUUUAUCAUGUUAUUUCUUGUAUGAUCAUGCAAAAUGGAUUGAAUUAUAAAAAGAAUCAUUCUAUAAUUUUUCAAAAAAUAAAACAAAAUCCACCAAGAAUCUACUUUAAUUUGUUGAAAAGGAACAUACAUUUGACAACUUUCUUACUUUUAUUCUUCAAGAUAUAGCAAAGGGAUAUACCUUGCUUUAUAAUUGUUGGAAAAAAUUAUAUUUCAAAAUUUGGUCUCAUCAUUAUGUUUUUGUAAGUAAACCAUUAUGAAAGAAAUUAACUAAUUAAAAC